GUGCUCUCUUCAGUAGCAUAUAUACUAAAAUUGGAACAAUACGGAGAGGAUUAGCAUGUCCCCUGAACCAGGAAGACAUGCAAAUUCAUGAGGUGUUCCAUAUUUUC